AACGAACGCUGGCGGCGUGCCUAACACAUGCAAGUCGAACGUGAAAGUCCUUCGGGAUGAGUAAAGUGGCGCACGGGUGAGUAACACGUAGGUGACCUGCCGUUUAGAGGGGGAUAACCAGAAGAAAUUUUGGCUAAUACCGCAUACGAAGCACAAAUCUUAGAGUAGUGCUUGAAGGAAUGCCUCUGUAUAUGCAUUUACUAAACGAUGGGCCUGCGGUGCAUUAGCUAGUUGGUGGGGUAAUGGCCUACCAAGGCGACGAUGCAUAUCCGGUCUGGGAGGAUGAUCGGACACACUGGAACUGAGACACGGUCCAGACUCCUACGGGAGGCAGCAGUGGGGAAUAUUGCGCAAUGGAGGAAACUCUGACGCAGCAACGCCGCGUGAGUGAGGAAGGACUUCGGUCUGUAAAGCUCUGUUAAUGUGGAAAAAUGCUUACUGGUCUAAUAGGCCGGUAAGUUGAUGGUACACAUAGAGGAAGCACCGGCUAACUUCGUGCCAGCAGCCGCAGUAA
rnacentral:rRNA from 1 species